AACUUAAAUGAAUUGACGGGACCCGCACAAGCAGCGGAGCGUGUGGUUUAAUUCGUUGCUACACGAAGAACCUUACCUGGGUUUGACAUAUAGGUUGUAGGGAACUGAAAGGGACCGACCUUCGGGAGCCUAUACAGGUGUUGCAUGGCUGUCGUCAGCUCGUGUCGUGAGAUGUUCGGUUAAGUCCGCUAACGAGCGCAACCCUCGUCGUAUGUUAUAUGUGUCAUACGAGACUGCCGGUAAAAGCCGGAGGAAGGUGAGGAUGAUGUCAAGUCAGCAUGACCUUUAUAUCCAGGGCUACACACACGCUACAAUGGUCUGUACAAUGGGUAGCCAAGCCGCGAGGCGGAGCCAAUCCUGAAAGCAGGCCUCAGUUCAGAUUGCAGUCUGCAACUCGACUGCAUGAAGCCGGAGUUGCUAGUAACCGCAGGUCAGCAAUACUGCGGUGAAUACGUUCCCGGGCCUU
rnacentral:rRNA from 1 species